rnacentral:rRNA from 1 species
UACGGAGGAUGCAAGCGUUAUCCGGAUUUAUUGGGCGUAAAGCGUCCGCAGGUGGUUUUUCAAGUCUGCUGUUAAAGCGCGAGGCUUAACUUCGUACAGGCAGUGGAAACUGGAAGACUUGAGUAUGGUAGGGGUAGCGGGAAUUCCCAGUGUAGCGGUGAAAUGCGUAGAUAUUGGGAAGAACACCGGCGGCGAAAGCGCGCUACUGGGCCAUUACUGACACUCAUGGACGAAAGCUAGGGGAGCGAAAGGG